ACCCCUAGAUAUAUAAGAACCCUAAAUAUAUAAGAAUCCAUCUCAACCGUAGGAUCAAGUUGUUUUAGACGGUUAAGAUUAAAACACGUGUCCAACUUUUUCAACCCCCUUACCCACCUCCCAACCUUUUCUCUCUCCUCUAACUUUCUUUCCCUUCUUCCCGAUUCUCUCAUUUUCUCUCUCCUAAAACCCCCAAAAAUCUGAUAGAAGUUGCAAUUUGAAGGAUUUUCGCUUCAGGUAUGUUUUUCUUUUCGAUUUUGUUCAAAUUUUCAUGAAAUUAGCAUGAUGUUCAAGUGAAUUUGCAGUUUUAAUUGGUGAUUUUUGCAAUUUUUAGGGUUCGGAUUUAGGGUUCUAUUUUUGCGAUUUUUAGGAGUCGAUUUUUGCGUAUUAUUUUGUGCGAUUUUUGAGUUGGAUUUUUCGUAUGGAGUUUGAUUAUUUUGAGUUCGAGUUUAGCAAAUUUAGGGUUCGAAUCUUUGCGAAUUAUUUUGUUCGAUUUUUGCGAAUUAUUUUGUUUGAUUUUUGCGAAUGAUUUUUGUUCGAUUUUUGUUCAUUAUUUCGAUCAAUUUUUGUUCAUUAUUUCGUUCGAUUUUUGUUCAUUAUUUUGUUCGACUUUUGUGAAUUAUUUUUUUUUGAUUUUUGUGAAAUAUUUAUGUUCGAAAAAUUUGAUCUGUCAAUUAUUUUUUUUUUGUUCGAAUUAGUUCGAUUUUUGCAAAUUAAUGUCAAUUUUUGAAUUUUUUUUUGAGUAUGUGUAUUCGAACAAUAGAUCUGUUGCUGCUAUGGCUAUUACUACAGCCUCUUCUACUCUGCCUACUGCCCCUCCUAUCUUCUUCAAGGUUAAUUUAUAUAUAUUUUGUAGUUGAAGGCAUUUGGUGAAUUUUAUGAAGAAAUUGAUAACAAGAGUGUCGUUUUGUCCACUUUCGAAACAAGAAACAUUGAGAUGAAAUGGAAGAGCAAUGCAAACAAACAUGAUUGUGGAGUAUUUUUGUUGAAGCACAUGGAAACCUAGGACAAUGUCAAAAACAAUGAAAUUCGGGGCUAGAGAAGGGUAAUUUUGAGCAAAUGAAAAGGUUAUGAGUGGAGUAUUGUGGGAAGAUUAUAACAUCAGAAGUAAAUGAAGAAGUAAAUGAAGAACGGAAAAGAGUGAUGAAGAUGGCUAGAAAGUGGUCAAAGCUGAACAAAAAUUGAUAUAUGAUUGUGUAAAUCUUAAGUUUAUAUCUUUAGACAUAUAUUUAAAACAAUAUAUAGUACAUUUUUUGUACAAAUAUGGAGAUGACUAUUUUGAACAUGGGUAUCAUUUGGAAUAUUAAUAUCAUUUGAAACAUUAACCUUUGAAACAUUAUUUUUAUAAUGUUCUAAAGUAUUUCUGAUUUGGAAUAAGCUUAAGUUUUUCUUUCGUACAAUGAAGAAGGAAGAGGAAAGGAA